rnacentral:rRNA from 1 species
UACGUAGGGAGCAAGCGUUGUCCGGAAUCAUUGGGCGUAAAGCGCGCGUAGGUGGCCCCAUAAGUCCGCUGUGAAAGUCUAAGGCUCAACCUUUGAAAGCCGGUGGAUACUGUGGGACUAGAGUACGGAAGAGGCGAGUGGAAUUCCUGGUGUAGCGGUGGAAUGCGCAGAUAUCAGGAGGAACACCGGUGGCGAAGGCGGUUCUCUGGGCAUUACCUGACGCUGAGGAGCGAAAGUGUGGGGAGCGAACAGG